GCUCACUCUCAUGCUCUUCAUUAUUCUUCCCCUCAUGAAGCAAGACUUCUUCGGUAUCAUUCCCUAAUCUGGCUCUCUGACCCAUUUCUGGUCCAUUUCCAACGAGUCCACCGUGUACAUAGGCACCCCUCCUACCAAGUAAAUAUGUUUCCCUUCCUUCAAACUUUCUUUAGCUAGAUUAUGAGCCACCAAAUUUGUCUUUCUUAGAGUAUACUUGAAACAAACGCUCUGGAAACCCCUCUGAUAAUACUGAAUAUCUCUUACAUAAGCUCCUAUUUCUGAUUUAUCUAUCUCGUUUGACUGACAUUUCUUAAUAAUAGACAAGGAAUCUCCCUCAACCACCACUGACACCAAGCCCAAUUUUGUCCCCAAACGCAUUGCCUGAACACAAGUAAGAGCCUUGGUAGCAAACACUGAUGAAACAUUGUUGUUCAAAACUGAAGCCGAAACCAGAACCCCUCCCAAAGCAUCCCUUAACAACAACCUCGAACCAGACCUAUUAUGUGAAUGUUAAAGGUCUUGUCAAAAUUAAUCUUAUGGCACUGCCCCUCGGGAGGAUUCCGCCGUGCAAUUAUACCUCCCUUUUCAGGUAACUUCUCCUUUAACCCAUCUAACUCCCUAAUGUAACUAAAAAUUGCAUCAACCAUGACUUGUCUAGAUUUUUUUCCCUUCAUCCAACCACUUAUUCUUCCUGCCUAGAUUACCCACAAUGCAUAGCACAGAAGUCAACACUAAGCAACAGAAUAAUUUAAAAAAAAAACAAGGUAAGCCAUACCAUGCUCUUUAAUUCAAAAUUGUUGAUGGCCAAACAAAGUUUAAUUUCUGCCAAACUUCCACUGAUACAAGACACACCAAGAAAACAUGCUCUAAGCUUUCCACAGCAACCCCACAUCAAGGGCAUAUUACAUUAGCCACUAUUAUCUUGUAAUACAAAUUUCUUAGAGUAGGCAAAAAGUUUAAAGAAAUUUUCCAUAUUGUGAUUUUCUGUUUAGAAGGUAUAUCUAGAUUCGAUAAUUUUUCGUAAAAAUCCCUAGAAUCAUAUUGGUUAGCAAUAGUAACAAUAGUACCUUUAAAGAGCAUCUUAUACCCACUACAGACCGAGAACUCCCUCGAUGGUUCACCUCUCCAUACCAACAAACCUUCAUGUGCUUCCUUUACUAGAGGAAUUUUAUUGAUUCUGAAAGCAUCAACCUUCGUAAAGAUAUUCCUAACCACAUCCACUUUCCAUGUUCUAGUGUUAUUAUUUAUCAAAUCUGCAACCAAUGUUAUAGUAGAAUUACUAACAUUGUUUCCCACCUUGUAGUUAUUUGCCUCUGGUACCCACGCAUCUUUGAACACUGAAAUCUCCCAUUUAGUUCCUAGCCACCAACAAAGACCACCUUUUAAUAGGCCCCUAGCCUCCCAUACACUCUUCCAAGUAUAAGAAGGUACAUUCCCUAAUUUGGCACUUAAAAAUAUAGAAUUCGAAUAGCAUUUAGCUUUUAAAACACGAGUUAAUAACAAAUUUGGGUAAUUAAUAAGUUGCCGAACCUAUCCCAUUUUCUUUUAACUCACACAAUCACUUCCAAUCACACCAAUGAAUUCCUCAUCUUUUGUGGCCCUUUUGCCACCAAAAUUUCGUCAUAAUGCUCUCCAUCUCCCCACAAAGAGACUUUGGUUCUAACACCCUAUACCCGACCUGGUCGCCAAGCUCAAAUAUCAGGAUGCCAAACCACCGUCUCAUGUCAUACACAACAGAUAAAAGCUCAUUCCAAACAAAACAUUUUCCAUUUUAGUAUUUGCAUAAGUUUUAUGUAACACCCCUAACCCGUCACCGUUGUCAGAUUAGGGUUAUGGACCAUUACCGUACAACUGGGAACAAUUAAUAUCAUAACUAACUAAUAGAUUAAACAUAUCAUAAUCCAUCCAAUAUCAUACACUUUUUCCAUAAACCGAGCCCUCGAGGCCUUAAAAAUAGUUUAAAAGUAAUUCGAUACUAAUUUGUAACAAAUUGGAAAGUUUAAGAAAAAUGCAAAAUUUCAAAAAUAAAGGACACACGGCAUGUGGCUAGGCAGUGUAACUUUUGAACCAAGGACACACGGCCGUGUCCCAGCCGGUGUGCCAGGCCGUGUACCUCUCUAUGUUACCCCACACGCCCAUGUGCCAAGCUGUGUGCUAGGCCAUGUAACUCACUGACUUGAUCCUUAAGAAAUUCUCAGAUGACACACGGUAGUGUCACCAAGCCGUGUGACUCCUACGGCUGUGUCACACGCCUGUGUCCCAAGCCGUGUGAAGCCAAAAUUUACCUAAAAUCAAGCCAUUUCACAACCAAUUCACACCUAAAAAAACUAACAACUUAAGCAUACAUCCAAAGGACUUAAAAAUCAUUCACAACCACAUCAACAUGCCAAUUUAGACACCCUGAAUCAACUAACCAAUGUGCCAUUCAAAAACACCACAAUUAUGUUAACACAUCAACUAUCAAAACAUGUCAAUAUUGCCUCAUUUCAUGCAUGAUAACCUAAUUCAAGUAUGUACCAAAGCAUACCACAAAUAAUCAUCUUCAAACAACUCUAAUUACACCAGAAAGAACUUUAUUUACAAGUAUUUUAAAGUAACCAAGUGACAUAAUUUGGUAAAGUAUCAAAGUGUACCAAACUAACAUAUUUAUCUAUAUAUACAUGCCACUACCCUAUGAGAUACAAAAAAACUGCGAACUUAGAUGGAUAGUGUGAUCCGGUUGAAUGAUCCUUUCAAACUGUCAGCAACGUUUAUCUACAAAACAAUCCAUAAGAACCGAUAAGCUUACAAAGCUUAGUGAGGACAUAGUAUAAUAAUUAAUGUAAUACAAAUAAAUACAAUUCAUAUACUACUCGAUUCAGAGUUACCGAGGUAUAAAAAGGGGGACGAAAGUGCAUUCAGAGUACCGAAGUACAAAAAGGGGCACAUAUGUGCAAUCAACGGUACUGAAGUACAAACAGAAGCACAUAUAUGUAAUCAGGGGUAUCGAAGUAUAAAUAGGGGAACAUAUGUGCAAUCAGGGGUACUGUAGUACAAAUAGGGGCACGUUUGUGUGAUCAUAUAAUAAUUUUCUAUUAACAAAUUAAUUAAAGAAUGGUAAUAUAAGAACACAAAUAGAAAUUCAUUUGCAUAUUAAAAUAUUAUGAACUUACCUACUAUUUAAUGUCGAUCAGCAUGUAGGGACUAAUCCAUUAUUUUCUCUUUUCCUCAGUUAUUGUCUUUUUUAUCCAAAUUUUGAUCUAUAUAAUAAUUAAAUACUAUAUAUUAAUCUCAUUCAUAUUUAACAUUCCAUUCAAUGUAUAUAAACUUUAAAUUUUUAUUAAUUACACAUUUUCCCUAAACUUUUGCAACUUUUGUAAUUUAGUCCUCUAACCCGAAAAUCAUCAAAUUGACCAUUUUCUAAGAAUCAAAUUGCAGUCGAUUAUUCUAGGCCCUUUAACAGUCCCAAUUACACAUCAAAUUCACCAUCAAUCCUUGAAACUUUGACAUUUAAACAAUUUAAUCCUUAAAUCAAAAUCUAACAAAAACCACUUUACAAACCAACCAAAUAUCACAAUCAAAGUUUUAAAUAUAUAAUUAUCAUCAUAAAAACCUAAUAUUUAUCAAUGGUAACUUCCAAAAUUUUUAACAGAUUCAAAAACGAAGGCAUGGGCUAGCUGAACCUAGUUACAACGAUCUCAAAAACAUAAAAAUUAUUAAAAAUGGGACGACACUACAUACCAUGCAUGAAGAAAAUCAAGACCAAAGCUUCCCCCACUUUAAUGAUGAUUUUGGACACGCAAGAAGAAAAUGAAAAAGAUGAUAGGUUUUUGAUCUUUUACUUAAUUAACAUUUAACUUAAUUAUCAAAUUACUUAAUUAACCUUUAAAAAAUAUCAUAAUUACAUUAAAACCUAUCCAUGUACAUCCACUAUCAACAUAUAUGGUAUAAUUACAAUUCAAGUCCAUUAAAUUUCAUUUCUAAAGCCAUAUGACCCUCUUAACUAAUAGAACUCAACUUUUACACUUUUUACGAUUUAGUCAGUUUUACUUAAUUAACUACUUAAACAUCAAAAUUUCUUAAUGAAAUUUUAAUACGGCCUUAAUAUAUUCCCAUAAACAUUAAAUAAAUAAUAAAAUAAUAAUUUAAUCAUUAGAAUUGUGGUCCCAAAACUAUUAUUUCUGACAUCACUAAAAAACGGGCUCUUACGACUCUCCCCCAUUAGGAAAUUUUAUUCUCAAAAUUGUUACCUGAGAAUAGAUUUGAAUAUUAAAAUUUCAUCGAUUCCUCAGUUUCCCAGGUAGUCUCCUCAGUACCAUGCCAAUACCAUAAAAUUUUCACCAAUGGUACUCGUUUAUUUCGAAGUUCUUUGACUUUUCGAGCCAAACUUUUUCCUGGUUCUUUAGAAUACGUUAAAAAUCUGGCUGUAAUUCAAUUUCACUAUAAGGAAUCACUUGUGAUGGAUCAAAUCUAUACUGUCUUAUCAUUGAAACGUUGAACAUGUUAUGAAUUUUCUCGAGUUUGGGAGGUAAAGCUAAUCUAUAAGCUAUAGGACCAAUUGUUUAGGUAAUCUCAUACGGCCCAAUAAAUCUCGGACUCAACUUUCCUUUCUUGCCGAAUAUAGCACUUUCUUCUAUGGAGAAACUCUUAAAAAUACCCAAUCGCCAAUAGUAAAUUCUAUAUAUUUUCCUUUCAAAUCUAUGUACGACUUUUGACGAUCAGAUGCAACUUUCAAACAAUCUCGGAUAAUUCAAAGUUUGUCUUCAGUCUCUCGAAUCAAAUCAAUCCCUACCAUUUUGGAUUCGCUCAGCUCAGACCAAUACAACAACUUUUUACAUUUCCUUCUGUAUAAAGCUUCAAAUGGUGUCAUUUUAAUACUGGAUUGAUAACUGUUAUUAUAAGUGAACUCAGCUAACGGUAAAUAUUUUUCCCAGCUACUCUCGAACUCUAGAAUACAACAUCAUAGCAUGUCUUCUAGAAUCUAAAUUACUCGUUCUGAUUUCUCGUUCGUCUGAGGAUGAAAUGAUGUACUGAAAUUGAGUUUAGUGCCUAAAGCCUUAUGAAGUUUACUCUAAAAUCUCUAUGUAAACCUAGGAUCAUGAUAAGAAAUAAUAGAUGUCAGAACUUCGUGUAAUCUCACAAUAUCUGACACAUAAAAUUUUGCUAGUUUCCCGAGUCAGUAAUCUGUUCUGACUAGAAUAAAAUGGGCUAAUUUAGUCAAUCUGUCAACAAUCACCCAGAUCAAAUUUCUCUUUUUCGAAGUUACAGGAAAACUAGAUACAAAAUCUAUCGUGACUCAUUCCCACUUCCACUCAGGAAUCAUAAUUGGAUGUAAUAAUCCUGACGACACUUGAUGUUCUGCUUUUACCUGCUGACAAAUCAAACAUUUGGCUAUGAACUCACAUAUCUCAUGUUUCAUACCCGGUGACCAGUAUACCUGUUUUGAAUCACAAUACAUCUUCGUACUACCAAGAUGAACAGAGUAUGUACUACUGUGAGCUUCAAAUAGAAUGUCACUUUUCAACUUUAAAAUAUUCAAAACACAAAUUCUAUUGUGGUAAUAUAAUAUACCAUCAUCACCAAUACUGUAUUCAAUAGUCAAUUUGUUCCGCACCAAGUUUAGUUUCAUUAACAACUCCGGAUCCUCAUUUUGCAACUCCUGAAUUUGUUGUAGAAACAAGAGUUUAGUCUUCAAUUGCGCUAAUCCAGAAUCGGUAACAGCCCGUUUUUAGUGAUAUUGGAAUAGUGGUUUCAGGACCACAAAUUCGACGAGUAAAUUUUUAUUUUACUAUUAUUUUAAUGUCUACCGGAUAUUAGUAAGGUUGUAUAACAAAAUUUUAAUGUUUUCAAGGUUAAUUAAGUGAAAAGGACUAAAUCAUAAAAAGGGUCAAAGUUGAGUUCUAUUAGUAAAAAUGGUCAAAUGGCUAUGGAACUUUAAAAUAAGGGACUUGAAGGGUUAAUAAACCAUUUAAUUAAGAUAGUGGAUCUACAUGGAAAGGUUUUAUUGACAUUUUGUUAGUUUUUAAAGGUUAAUUUGGUAAUUAGGUAAAUAAAAUAAAAAAACAAAAAGGAAUUAAAAGAUGGUAUCAUCUUUAGUCUUCUUCUCCACCGAAUUUGAAGGGGAGAAUAGCCAUUGUUAGGGACUUGAGGUUCGGCUAGCUUUGGUGUGCGCAUGUAAGUGAUUUUGAUCCUUGUUUUUAAUUAUUUUUUUAUGUUUUUGAGGUCGUUUUAGCUUAAUCUAUCUAGCUCAGGGUUCAAUUUGUAAAACUAUUAAAGGUUGAAGGUUAUACCAUGAAUUUUCUUGAAUUUUUUUAUGUUAAUUGAUAGAUUAUGAAUCUUGAGAAAUAAAUAAGUUUAUAAAGUAAUUUUUAAUGAAAUUUACAUUAGGGAUUGAUUUGUAAAAAUAGUUAAAUUUCUUGUUAAAUUUAUGAAAUGAUGUUCUUUUUGGGUUGGUUUAAGUCCCUAAAGAAUUUGGUUAGCCUAUAAGAUGGAUUAAAAUGCUUAGAUUUCAAUUUAUGAGCUUAAGGACUAAAUUGCGAAAAGUUAAAAUGUUAAGGGCAAAAUGCUAAUUUUGCAUAAAUAUGAAAUGUGGAUUGAAUUGAAUGUUUAAGGUUAAUUGAAGUACUUAAUUGAAGAUAAUUAUCUAUUUAGAUCAAACUAAACCACGUACGAACCUAGACCGAGGAAAAGCAAAAGUUUCGGAUUAGCUCGAUAUAGUCGUCACACCCCUAGUUGACAAGGUAAGUUUGUAUUAAUGUUAUUUAAUUUUUUAUUAAUAUGUUAUUUACAAUUUUGAUUGAAUUAUGUAUAAAAAAGGUGAUUUUAUGACGAUUAUUGAAUCCCGGUUGAGCCUUAGAAAUUUGUAGGAUACAAAUGACAUGUCAUUAAGGAUUUCAUGUUUCGGGUGCUGGUCUUGAAUGUCCUAGCGAUGGCUGAGGUCCUGCAUUUGUUAUGGAUACUCCACAGCUCAUGUGAGUAGCAUCGUGUAGCUUACAUUUUGACCCACAGCUCGUGUGAGUAGGCCCUUUUCACAACUCGUGUGAGUAGUGAUGUAAAGGAAAGGUUGUGGUUAUAUGUAAAGGCACACUUUGCGUGAGCUUUCUCGAGUACCCAAUGAAAUUCUAGACGAUUCAAUGAAUAAGAAAAGGGAUUGAAAUGGUAAGUUCUCAAAUGGAAUUAUACAUAAGUUUAUGGAUAGAAUACAUGAAUCAAAUGAUGUAUUUCGUAUAAAAAUGACUUAUCAUAUGGUUAGUUCAAAUGAGUUAUGUAUUAUGUAGAAAUGUGCUAACUUGUAUAUUGAUGGUGACAUAUAGGCUUAUAACAAGCUUAUGAUUUGGACUUUAAUGUACUUAUGCUUUAAGUUAUACAAAUUGAAAUGGUAAGUUAUGUUUUGAGCUAUAUGAACUUACUAAGCAUUAAUUGCUUAUGUAGUUUCUUUCCUAUGUUUUAUAGAUUAACGAAAACUCGAUCGAUUUGGAAGCUCAUCAGAGAUCUAUCACACUGUCCAACAUAAAUAUCGAUAGUUUUUGAAUGUUUUGGCCAAGGUUAUAAUGGCAUGUAUAGGAUGAAUUGUAAUGUUAUUUUUGUGAAUGGUUUGAUUGUGUUUUGGUAUGUAUAAGUUGUGUAAGUUAACUUUGUUGAUACCAUUUGAUGUCUUGCUAGAUUGUGUCAUUUUGCGUUAUCUUAUUUUUCAUGUUUGGAAUGGCUCAUAUGGUAUGUUAUGAAUUGGUAUGAUUAUGGUCAAGUAAUGGCAUGUUUUGGAAAGUAUUGAACUAUAAUUUAAUGUUUGCAAUUUGGUAAGAUUGACAUGUUUAGGUAACUGUUAAUGAUUGCAUUUGAGGUGUCUUUAAAUGACAUAUUGGUUAGUUGAACUAGGACUUUUGGAAUGACAAAUCUAUGUAUGUUUUGAUAGGGUUUUCUUGCCUUAAAAAUGUGCACAAGAGACCUAAAUUUUCAUGCAUGAAAUGGUAUAGAAAAUGGUUUUUUUUAGGCAAAUUUGGGUCUACACAACUUGAGACAUAAGCAUGUGACU
rnacentral:lncRNA from 1 species